GUGAAAUUGUAGUAGCAGUGAAGAUGCUGUUUACCCGCAAAAGGACGAAAAGACCCCGUGAACCUUUACUGUACUUUGGUAUUGAUUCUUGAUUUGUUAUGUGUAGCAUAGCCAGGAGACUGAGAACACUCUUCGUCAGGAGAGUGGGAGUCAUCGUUGAAAUACUGGUCUUAACAAGUUGGGAAUCUAACAUAAUUCCAUGAAUCUGGAAUAUGGACAUUGCCAGACGGGCAGUUUUACUGGGGCGGUAUCCUCCUAAAAAGUAACGGAGGAGCCCAAAGCUUAUUUCAUCGUGGUUGGCAAUCACGAGUAGAGCGUAAAGGUAUAAAAUAGGUUGACUGCAAGACCUACAAGUCAAGCAGAGACGAAAGUCGGGCUUAGUGAUCCGGCGGUGGAAAGUGGAAUCGCCGUCGCUUAACGGAUAAAAGGUACUCCGGGGAUAACAGGCUGAUCGCCACCAAGAGUUCAUAUCGACGUGGCGGUUUGGCACCUCGAUGUCGGCUCAUCGCAUCCUGGGGCUGGAGAAGGUCCCAAGGGUUUGGCUGUUCGCCAAUUAAAGCGGUACGCGAGCUGGGUUCAAAACGUCGUGAGACAGUUUGGUCUCUAUCCUUUGUGGGCGCAGGAUACUUGAAAGGAGCUGUUCCUAGUACGAGAGGACCGGAAUGGACGAACCAAUGGUGUGUCGGUUGUUUUGCCAAAAGCAUAGCCGAGUAGCUACGUUCGGAAAGGAUAAGCAUUGAAAGCAUCUAAAUGCCAAGCCUCCCUUAAGAUAAGGUAUCCCUAUGAGACUCCAUAUAGACUAUGUGGUUGAUAGGUUGGGUGUGUACGCACAGUAAUGUGUUUAGCUAACCAAUACUAAUAAGUCCAUUGACUUGGUUU
rnacentral:rRNA from 1 species